rnacentral:rRNA from 1 species
CCUACGGGCGGCAGCAGUGGGGAAUAUUGGACAAUGGGCGAAAGCCUGAUCCAGCCAUGCCGCGUGUGUGAAGAAGGCCUUCGGGUUGUAAAGCACUUUCAGUGGGGAAGAAAGCCUUGGGGCUAAUACCCUCGAGGAAGGACAUCACCCACAGAAGAAGCACCGGCUAACUCCGUGCCAGCAGCCGCGGUAAUACGGAGGGUGCGAGCGUUAAUCGGAAUUACUGGGCGUAAAGCGCGCGUAGGCGGUCUGAUAAGCCGGUUGUGAAAGCCCCGGGCUCAACCUGGGAACGGCAUCCGGAACUGUCAGGCUAGAGUGCAGGAGAGGAAGGUAGAAUUCCCGGUGUAGCGGUGAAAUGCGUAGAGAUCGGGAGGAAUACCAGUGGCGAAGGCGGCCUUCUGGACUGACACUGACGCUGAGGUGCGAAAGCGUGGGUAGCAAACAGGAUUACAUACCCGAGUAGUC